AACGUUUAGAUAUUAUUAUUUUUUUCGUUGUUACUUGAUACGGCUAGCAAUUAAAUAGUGAGAAUAAGAAGAAUUGGAAGUGCCAUUUUCGAAAAAGAAUUUUGGUUUUAAAUUGGAAAUUAAAUUUGGUUUGGACAUAUAUGACACAAUUUGUAUGGACAAUGAAGAGUACGAAUCUACGAAUUUCGAGGUAAAAGUAUUGAUAUAUGUAUCGAUAUUUCUGGUCGUUACAAUAUCUCUAAUCAAUACAAAGUUCUAACUGAAUGUUAGAAUGUUAAACGUUAAAACGUUUAAAACGUUAAAAUGUUAUAAUAAAGUAUAAAGUAUAAUAAAGUAUAAAGUAUAAUUUCGUCUGUGGUAUAAUCUUUCUAUUCCAUUUUGUUACGUCGCACCGCGAGCAAUAUGGCAACCAGAUGUCACCGGAUACUCGCAGCGUAUCCUCCAUAGUUUCAAGUACCUUCCAUAAAUCUCAUAGAUUUCCUAGAAAAGGUCCUUCAAACCAAACAAACGUCUGUUUCCGAAGAAUUUCUAAAGACUAUUGUCUACCCCGACUGGACAAGGGAAAGUUAGUUUUUCUCACGUAUGCUGCAACUUUCCUCCCACUAACCACUUUCUCUCGAGGGCGGUUAAGACCCUUCGUUAACCAAUUAACAACGAAGCCACUUCCUUCACUCUCCUAACUAAAAUCGUCACCAACAAAUCCGAUGGUCCCGUGCGCUAGACACACCCAUCCUUAGCUUUCCUCCGAGACAGCAUCGUCUCCCAAGACAGUUCUGAUUUCACAUCCUUCGAACGGUCAAUAUCCUUCCACCGGGUAGGACACACCCACAGAUCAGUCACUCAUUCAUCUCGUACAUAUUCUCAACGCGAGAAUUGAUUGUAAUUUCAAAAAAUAAAUAAAAAAAAAAAAUCUCGUACAUACGCACCAGCGUAACUGCCUUCGUUAUAAGUUGUUGGAAUAAACGGUGAAAUAUAACUUACUAUACUGUGUCAUAUUCAUUUAACCACCUCUUAUCUUAACCGAAACAGGGGAACGACUACUUCGCGGCGUCGAUUCACCGAAUCGUAGCGAGAAUUUACGCCUCUCGCUACUGCGACUGCGUCUCUCCGCGAACGGUCGUAACACAUUGAUCGACAGAAGUACUAAACUCUAAUAACAUAAAUUUAUAUAUUUUCUA